CCUACGGGUGGCUGCAGUGAGGAAUAUUGGUCAAUGGCCGGAAGGCUGAACCAGCCAAGUCGCGUGAGGGAAGACGGCCCUACGGGUUGUAAACCUCUUUUGUCAGGGAGCAAGGUGCAGGUCGGGACCUGCUGUGAGAGUACCUGAAGAAAAAGCAUCGUCUAACUCCGUGCCAGCAGCCUCGGGAAUACGGAGGAUGCGCGGGUUAUCCGGAUUUAUGGGGUUUAAGGGGUUCGUAUGCGUAAUGCCAAGUCAGCGGUAAAAUCGCGGGGCUCAACCUCGCUCCGCCGUUGAAACUGGCGUUCUUGAGUGGGCGAGAAGUAUGCGGAAUGCGUGGUGUAGCGGUGAAAUGCAUAGAUAUCACGCAGAACUCCGAUUGCGAAGGCAGCAUACCGGAGCCCAACUGACGCUGAAGCACGAAAGCGUGGGUAUCGAACAGGAUUAGAUACCCGGGUAGUC
rnacentral:rRNA from 1 species